rnacentral:rRNA from 1 species
UACAGAGGUCUCAAGCGUUGUUCGGAUUUACUGGGCGUAAAGGGCGCGUAGGCGGCGUAACAAGUCACUUGUGAAAUCUCCGGGCUUAACCCGGAGCGGCCAAGUGAUACUGUUGUGCUAGAGUGCGGAAGGGGCUACUGGAAUUCUCGGUGUAGCGGUGAAAUGCGUAGAUAUCAAGCGGAACACCGGUGGCGAAGGCGGCCUUCUGGACAGUGACUGACGCUGAGACGCGAAAGCGUGGGGAGCAAACAGG